ensembl:snoRNA SNORA74 Small nucleolar RNA SNORA74
CCCAGAUGCAGGCAACUGUCUAGGUUAUUGUCCCUAGGCCAGUGUUCAACAGCUGGGAGAAAAGCAGCUAAUAGCUGGCAGCCAUUCCGGAUCUGGUUAAUGCCAAAUUUGUGUUAAUUAUACCAGUGUGCCAACAUA